CCAAUAUUGUAAAAAAAAAAAAAAAAAAAAAGAGGCUAUCCACCGCUCGGUGUUCACGGUCUCCUGUAUUUCCCUCCCGUCAAGUAACGUGUUUCUAAACCAUGGCAGAUGGCACCAUCAAGGGGCUGAGUUACCAAGGACUGUGACUUUCAUCUCAAAGCCAACCCUUUCUUUCUCUCUGUCUCACUCUCUCUCUCUCUCUCUCUGGCCUUGAUGAAGCUGGUAAAAUGUGGGAGAGAUCGUUGCAGCAGAGAACUGAGCACGGUCUCCAUUCACCAUUCGGCAAGGAAGCAAGGUCCCCACUGUAGCGGCCGUCAAGGAACUGAAUCCCGCCAGUGAGCAUCUGGUAAAAUGUGGGAGAGAUCGUUGCAGCAGAGAACUGAGCACGGUCUCCAUUCACCAUUCGGCAAGGAAGCAAGGUCCCCACUGUAGCGGCCGUCAAGGAACUGAAUCCCGCCAGUGAGCAUCUGGUAAAAUGUGGGAGAGAUCGUUGCAGCAGAGAACUGAGCACGGUCUCCAUUCACCAUUCGGCAAGGAAGCAAGGUCCCCACUGUAGCGGCCGUCAAGGAACUGAAUCCCGCCAGUGAGCAUCUGGUAAAAUGUGGGAGAGAUCGUUGCAGCAGAGAACUGAGCACGGUCUCCAUUCACCAUUCGGCAAGGAAGCAAGGUCCCCACUGUAGCGGCCGUCAAGGAACUGAAUCCCGCCAGUGAGCAUGUAAGUGAAGUGAGAAGUAUCUUCUUCCCCAGUGGGGCCCUCACCUGAGACCCCAGUGCCAGGCAGCACCUUGUGUGCAGCCCUGGGAAACCCUGUGAAAUGAAGGGUCUAGGUGGGCCGUCCCUACCGAGAUAUCGGAUCCUCAGAAACGGAGAUCAUAAAUGAGUGUCACUUGAAACUGCUAAAUUUUGCAGUAAUACUGUGUAAGAAGGGAUAUCCAGAACAAAUUCAUCUAGGACGACUCCACACACAGGUGAGAAAGGAGGAUUUAAAAAGUGCAGAGAAGGGGUGCCUGGGAGGCUCAGCGAGUUAAGCCUCUGUCUUGGGCUC